rnacentral:tRNA from 1 species
ACCGAAAUCGCUCAGUUGGGAGAGCGUUAGACUAUAGAUCAAGAAGUCCUUGGUUCGAUUCCGGGUUCCGGCA